GGUUCACUGGCCAAAUGGUUAAGGUGCUUGACUACGAAUCAAGAGAUUGCAGGUUCGAGUCCUGCGUGAAUCG
rnacentral:tRNA from 1 species